GACGAACGCUGGCGGCGUGCCUAAUACAUGCAAGUAGAACGCUGAAGGAGGAGCUUGCUCUUCUGGAUGAGUUGCGAACGGGUGAGUAACGCGUAGGUAACCUGCCUGGUAGCGGGGGAUAACUAUUGGAAACGAUAGCUAAUACCGCAUAACAGUAGAUGCUGCAUGACAUUUGCUUAAAAGGUGCAAUUGCAUCACUACCAGAUGGACCUGCGUUGUAUUAGCUAGUUGGUGGGGUAACGGCUCACCAAGGCGACGAUACAUAGCCGACCUGAGAGGGUGAUCGGCCACACUGGGACUGAGACACGGCCCAGACUCCUACGGGAGGCAGCAGUAGGGAAUCUUCGGCAAUGGACGGAAGUCUGACCGAGCAACGCCGCGUGAGUGAAGAAGGUUUUCGGAUCGUAAAGCUCUGUUGUAAGAGAAGAACGAGUGUGAGAGUGGAAAGUUCACACUGUGACAGUAUCUUACCAGAAAGGGACGGCUAACUACGUG
rnacentral:rRNA from 1 species